GCCAGUGUAGUGCAGUGGUUUGAGUAUUAUAUUAUGACUCUGGAAACCAGGGUUCAAAUCCCUGUUCAGCCA